rnacentral:rRNA from 1 species
GGAUUAGAUACCCUGGUAGUCCACGCCGUAAACGAUGCGCACGUGGUACGGGAGUCUCUGACGACAUCCGUGCCGAAGCUAAAGCGAUGAGUGCGCCGCCUGGGGAGUACGGCCGCAAGGCUAAAACUCAAAGGAAUUGACGGGGGCUCACACAAGCGGUGGAGCAUGUGGAUUAAUUCGAAGCAACGCGCAGAACCUUACCUGGGUUUGACAUGUACGGAUGCCCUUCUGGAAACAGGAGUAAGCUGCCUUCGGGUGAAACGUACACAGGUGCUGCAUGGCUGUCGUCAGCUCGUGCCG